rnacentral:rRNA from 1 species
ACCCUGGUAGUCCACGCCGUAAACGAUGUCGAUUUGGAGGUUGUGCCCUUGAGGCGUGGCUUCCGGAGCUAACGCGUUAAAUCGACCGCCUGGGGAGUACGGCCGCAAGGUUAAAACUCAAAUGAAUUGACGGGGGCCCGCACAAGCGGUGGAGCAUGUGGUUUAAUUCGAUGCAACGCGAAGAACCUUACCUGGUCUUGACAUCCACAGAACUUUCCAGAGAUGGAUUGGUGCCUUCGGGAACUGUGAGACAGGUGCUGCAUGGCUGUCGUCAGCUCGUGUUGUGAAAUGUUGGGUUAAGUCCCGCAACGAGCGCAACCCUUAUCCUUUGUUGCCAGCGGUUCGGCCGGGAACUCAAAGGAGACUGCCAGUGAUAAACUGGAGGAAGGUGGGGAUGACGUCAAGUCAUCAUGGCCCUUACGACCAGGGCUACACACGUGCUACAAUGGCAUAUACAAAGAGAAGCGACCUCGCGAGAGCAAGCGGACCUCAUAAAGUAUGUCGUAGUCCGGAUUGGAGUCUGCAACUCGACUCCAUGAAGUCGGAAUCGCUAGUAAUCGUAGAUCAGAAUGCUACGGUGAAUACGUUCCCGGGCCUUGUACACACCGCCCGUCACACCAUGGGAGUGGGUUGCAAAAGAAGUAGGUAGCUUAACCUUCGGGAGGGCGCUUACCACU